rnacentral:rRNA from 1 species
GACUAACGCUGGCGGCGCGCCUAACACAUGCAAGUCGCACGAGAAACUCCGUAGCAAUACGGGGCGGUAAAGUGGCGAACGGGUGAGUAAUGCAUGGGUGACCUGUCCUCAAGAUGGGAAUAACCUCGCGAAAGCGGGGCUAAUACCCAAUGCCAUCUCGGUCCUACGGGAUCGGGAUGAAAGAUAGCUGUCACAGGCUGUCACUUGAGGAGGGGCUCAUGCCCAUCAGCUAGUUGGUAGGUAACGGCCUACCAAGGCUAUGACGGGUAGCUGGUCUGAGAGGACGACCAGCCA